GAUCGAGAAAGAGAUCGGAAGCUAAGAAUUCGAAUGGACAAAAUUAAUUUGCACACAGCUGCAUUCAAUUAUGACCUGCACACAAUUUUUAUCGUAAGGCAUAAAUUGUGUGAGCCCCAAACAUGUUACCAGGCAAAUCAGGCAAACCAGGCAAAUCACACUUUGGUACGUCAAGACUCGCAAGGGGAACGUGAGCCCCACCCAACUAAUACGCCGGAGAGCAGCUCUACAAGGACCAAACCGUCGACAACUGGGAUUUCAAAUUUUUCGAUAGAGACAGCAUUUAUUGCUCGUUCGCAGAUCAUAAUGUCUACGAUACUAGCUCAUGUGGUGGACAAUUGUGGAAGCCAGACGUUUUGCCGAUUUCUGCUGGAUUCGGGUUCAACUAUUAUUUUUGCACCUCUUACCCACGCACGUAUUUCGGUAAUUGGGCUUUCUACGCAAGCCGCUAGAGUAACUGGCGGGGUUUCCAAAAAUACAAUUGCAAUCCCGAGUCUCGACGGAUGUCCAGGAAAUAAAAGCGCCGACUAUGAGUUCUGUAACCACGUCAGUACUACCCAAAGAGUUACACACAAGCAACUGGGAAGCUCUACAAGGGUAAUGUUACCCGAUCCCACCUUCGCCACUUUCGAGUUUUUUAUAGUCCAACGAAAAUUGAUAAGUAAACCUAAUACAUUUGCACUAAACACAAUUAUUGAUUGGAUAAUUGUAGGCUCGGAUCCCUUAUGUGAAUGAGUCACCAAAGCCAGUGCAAAUUGGUUUGGAUGAGAUGGUGAGGAGGUUCAUGGAGAUGGAUACAAUCCAGCCUAGAAGGAAGGAAAAGGCAAUAUUGUGCCUUUUUGGAAGAUUAUCUACAGCGCGGACAUAUGGAAGCACUCAAGGAACAGCAACUAAUCUUGCCAAAAGAUCAACGUUGUUACCUUGCCCUUGCAGUCGUCAAAGCUAAAAGCUACCUUUUCUUGGUCGGAGUCCUAUUGGCCGACCUCCACCAAAAACCAGAAUAUACAGAUGCACCCAGGUGGACUUUGCGAGGAAAAAUCUAAUAAGGAAAUAAACUUUACUCUGAAAGCUCAUUCUCAUCCGGAUUUUCUCGACAGUUAAUUCCAUAAACUUUCGUCUUGGAAUCAACUAUUGCGCUUUGUCAGCUAUAUUUUUCGAUUUAUACAACGCAUACGCCCCAAAUGUACCGCCAUUCUUAGUAAAAGCUUAACAUUUUAAAUUGAAACUUACAGAUGAUACCUAACAGCUAAGGACUUGCAAAACGCUUGAGAAAGGCUUUUGAAGCACAUGCAACUUACGGCUUUUCUACAAGAUUACGGCGCAGCCGGGAAAGAUCAGAGACUGAAAAGAAAAUCAAAAUUGCUGAAAUAGACGCCGUUUUUGGAUGCUUCCGGAAUAUUACGAAUCGGAAGACGUAUUGACCGAUCGAAGUAAUCAUUCAUUGCCUUGCUGAUUGGGCGCUACCUUCACAAAAAAAAAAAAAAAGGUUUUGUGCCCGUCGCAAAACACCGUCAAUCAAGCUGCAUCUGCGCCGAGUCCGAGGAGUUGCACUCACUUUUGAAGAUCUGUCAACCGUUCUUGCCCAAACACAGCCUCGAUACACUGACGCCAGCCCGUUUUUUGGUAGGACAGCAGUACACUACAGUGUCUAAUCAAUCGUUUUUGGACUCCCAGAUGAUUCGAGCGAUGGAAUCAGCUGCAGGCCAUGGUGGAAGAAUUCUGGACGCGAUGGCACACUGAAUACUUCACUCCUCUACCCAGAACAGGAUUCUAAGGUCCGAGUGGUGACUGUCAAUACGGCCAAUGGGGUCUACAAGCGCCCUAUUGCUAAGAUCGCCGUUCUCUCUUUCAACUUAAUUAACGUUAAGUUUAUCACGUAUCGCCACUAACAGGCACACUAAAAUAGAAAUUCGAGCAGGCCGGCAUGCAGCUUAACUUUGUAGGACUUUGAUACCAAAUAAUAUUCGGAAGCAGCAUUCGUAUUUGUAUAUGUAUGUUCUUUCAACACCGUUGAAAUCACUUCCACUUUCAAGUGCGGGAUACUUAAACAACUCUUCAGUACCAAUCCCUAAAGAUUCCCUAUGGAAUGCUUAGGGAGUCGCCGUGAAUUCCCGAGGAUUCUCGAGGAAUGCUCCAUACAAAACGUGUAUGAAGCAGGCGUUCGCGGCGAUAAUCUCGAAAAUAAAAUCUGAGUGAAUUUGCCUUCGAAUUCCAAAAAUCCCGGGAAUUUCCCAGGAAACCCUAGUAAAAAACCUAAUAAAUU